CAGCAGCCACGGUAAUACGAAGGGGGCUAGCGUUGUUCGGAAUCACUGGGCGUAAAGCGCACGUAGGCGGACGCUUAAGUCAGGGGUGAAAUCCCGAGGCUCAACCUCGGAACUGCCUUUGAUACUGGGUGUCUUGAGUCCGGGAGAGGUGAGUGGAACUGCGAGUGUAGAGGUGAAAUUCGUAGAUAUUCGCAAGAACACCAGUGGCGAAGGCGGCUCACUGGCCCGGAACUGACGCUGAGGUGCGAAAGCGUGGGGAGCAAACAGGAUUAGAUACCCGCGUAGUCCCUGUCUCUUAUAC
rnacentral:rRNA from 1 species